rnacentral:rRNA from 1 species
CCUACGGGUGGCUGCAGUGAGGAAUAUUGGUCAAUGGGGGCAACCCUGAACCAGCGACGCCGCGUGAAGGAUGACAGGGCUUUGCCCCGUAAACUUCUGUCGGGAGGGAAAAAAGGACUGUUUGGCGGUCUGGGAUUGUACCUCUAAAGGAAGCACCGGCUAACUACGUGCCAGCAGCCGCGGUAAUACGUAGGGUGCAAACGUUGUCCGGAAUUACUGGGUGUAAAGGGUGCACAGGCGGUUUUGUGCGUCAGAGGUAAAAUCCCACAGCUCAA